CCCCCCCCUCCUUUCUUUUGCCGUCCAACCCAUCAUCUUCUUCCGGCGAUUUCUUCGCCGUCCGGCCACCCCAGGACAAACCGUUCGGCUUGGUGUGAUCCUCUCCUCCUUCUCUACCUAUUCAUCUUGUUUUGAUCGGUGGAGGAAGAUUUGAAGCUGUUUGAGACUGUGAACAGUACCGUGAACAGUAACCGUCGAAUUCUUGGGUUCUUGUUUGAUUUUUCUGGAUAUUCCUACUUGAAUUUGGUUGUUGUUGCAGGAUAUACUGAGCCCUCGAGUGAGGAGGACACGGGCAGACAGCAGGAUUAGCUGCGAGACUCACCUAUUUCAGUUUGGCCGAGAUCGCGUCCAGGAACUUGAGGCACAGGAAUCAGCGCUUUCGUUUUGACUGUAGGUUAAUACUUAACCUACCUUGUAUGAUAUCGGCUUAGUUAUGUAGCACUGCUCUGAUAACCUUUUCAUUUGGUGAAUGCUAAUGCUUGAGAACUUGUUAUCGUAUUGAUGUUAAGGUGGAUUUCGUACUGUCUGAAUGUAACUUAUACACGUGGAAUGUUAAUUUUGAAUUGUGUUUGU